rnacentral:misc_RNA from 1 species
UAUUUGUUUACUACGUACUUACAGAAUAACGUUCUUGAGGCUUGUAACAAGGAAGGUUUUUUUGGAUCUGGGACGUAUUUUGUGGAUUUUCAUGCAAAUGAUUGUAUUCAUAAUUCAUUUUCAAUUUUAUUGAUUGUGAAUCUAGCUUUCUUCAAACAUGGACAUUAGUUCGAAAAGCAUACAACUUUUGCUGACAGGUUUUCUGUUCAUAAGUAGUAUAUAUUCAUUAACCUUGAAGACCGAGGACGUAAUAUUUGAGGAGGGUGAUACUAUUAUCGUUAAUUGUACGUAUGAUAAGGAUGGACAAGAAGAGAUCCUCGACAGAGGUAUCAGAUGGCAGAAACAGACAGACGACUACUUUAAAGAUAUAGCGCUGUUUUCGCCUCCUAACGGUCGAGGGCCUUUCAUUGUUAAGGGCAUGCAGUCUCUUUACAGCAACAGGACAGAGCUCAUAGCACCAAACAUUUCACUUUCUGCUGUGUUGAUAGUAAAACACCCUCUCUGUGGUGAUCAAGGACUCUACCGAUGCUGGAUAGAAUAUUAUCCCUGGGUUUCAUUUAAUAUGCAUGUACAAACCAGUGGCUCUGAUGUAAAAUUUAAAUCCAAACCAAAAAUACCUGAGGAGUUUCAUUUCUUUCCAAAAGAGCUAGAAGAGAAUCAAUCCAUUAUUUUACUGUGUGGUGCUAAUGUUGGAAGUCCGCUGGGAAAUAUUGAGAUCUGGAAAAUACCUCAAUACAACAAUACACCUGUAUUGAUACAGGAAUUAAACGUUACAACAAAUAAAACAGAAAAUUGUACAGAAUUCAUAAAUGUAAACUUUACUUAUAAUGUUACGAGAGACGACAAUGGAGCUGUAUUUCGAUGUUCAUCGCAAAAUAACUUGACUCAAGGCCCAGGACCUUACAAGGAAUCGCCAAAAAUGUUUGUGAUUUAUGGGCCUGAUAAGCCUGUAAUCACCUUGACUCCUUUCAAAUCUUUUUAUUUUGUUGGAGAUUACCUUACAAUCCAGUGUACUACUGAUAGUAACCCGCCACCUGUUUUCACCUGGAAAUUUCACCCCCACAACAAAUCUUUAGAAACAGUGAUCAAAACCUCUUCUGAUGUUUCAAAGCUAGUGUACGAUACCCUUAAAACUACCGAUUCUGGCACUUACAGUUGCACGGCAACCAAUGCGGCUACACUAAAUUCUGUGAAUGUGACGUCUUCUGUUUUCCUAUAUGUAAAUCAUUCUGAGAUUGGCUACCAGGGAUGCAAUCAGUGUGGAUAUCUCACAGUAUGUCAGCAAUAUGAUGGAAAGACUGUGUGUGUCACCAACAAAUGGAUUCCAAUUGCAAUAGUUUUUAUCCUCAUCAGUGUUUCAUUUGCAGCUUCUUCGAUUGUUUUGAUUAAGAAUAAAAGGUAAACACCAAAGUACAAAACACAAAGGUACAAACACCCAUUUAUUUACCCAGUUGAAUUUGAAAAUUAUAAAAACUAACCAUUUUAAAGCUAACAGGAUGUGUAUUAGGCAAUUCAUAGCAACAAUAGAAUGCUCUUUGAUCUGCUAUGUAGUAUAAUCAAAAAAAAAAAAGUUCCGUCCCAAAAUGAAGUACUUUAACAUUAUUUAUCAAAUGUGUUUUUUGAGUGUAAUAUAAGACAAAUAGAAAGAAACUGUUUCAUUCUACAAUCAAACGUUUCCCUUCUUUCUCUAGUGCCUCACAAAAUGACGGGGGGUACCAGGCACACACGGAGAUUGUCAACACGCACGUAUACUCAGCAUUACAAUCUCACAAACCGGAAACUGGGGUAUAUACAUCGUUACAAUCUCACAAACCGGAAACUGGGGUAUAUACAUCGUUACAAUCUCACAAACCGGAAACUGGGGUAUAUACAUCGUUACAAUCUCACAGACCGGAAACUGGGGUAUAUACAUCCUUACAAUCUCAGCGGCGACCAGAAAGUGGUGAAAAUGCGUCUUUACAAUCUAACCAGCCAGAAACUGGUGGAAAUGCAUCGUUAUAAUCUCACCAACCGGAUACUGGGGUAUAUACAUCGUUACAAUCUCAGCGACCAAAAACUGAUGAAUAUACAUCGUUACAGUCUCAGCGACCAGAAACUGAGGAACAUGCAUCGUUACAAUCUCACAAACCGGAAACUAGUGAAUAUACAUCAAUUGACAAUGUAUCGUGAUUUUUAACUAGGUUUGAGAGAACAUGAAGUGCGUUUCAUACAAAUGUUACUAUAUUGUAUUAUUUGGUAAUUAUUUUAUCAACGUCAUUAAAGCAUAAUGACAGAUCAUACCAAUGCAAUUUGUAAAUAAAUAAUCAGUUUUUC